rnacentral:rRNA from 1 species
GACGAACGCUGGCGGCGUGCUUAACACAUGCAAGUCGAACGGAAAGGCCCUGCUUGCAGUGUACUCGAGUGGCGAACGGGUGAGUAACACGUGGGUGAUCUGCCCUGCACUUCGGGAUAAGCCUGGUAAACUGGGUCUAAUACCGGAUAGGAGCCAUUUUGAGUGUGAUGGUUGGAAAGUGUUUUCGGUGUAUGAUGAGCUCGCGGCCUAUCAGCUUGUUGGUGGGGUAAUGGACUACCAAGGCGGCGGCGGGUAGCCGGCCUGUGUGGGUGGACGGCCAUCCUGGGUCCUAGGGACGGCACCAGCACCGACGGUACGGAGAUGGGGGGAAGCUUGACGGAGCGGCGCCAGGCGGAUGAAGAGAGGCCGCGUGGCGGAAGACGGUCUUAGGGUUGUAAAACCCAUUCGUAAGGGACGGAGCUCUUUGUGACGGUACCUAGACAAGAAGCACCGGCUAACUACGUG